rnacentral:lncRNA from 1 species
CUUGACUUUUCCCCUCGGUUUUCCCUUUAACGAAUCUAUUCGUUUUUUUAUCUUCCUUCCUUCGACAUUUACUUUUUAAAUCCAUCCAUUUCAUGGACUCUCUACUCUUUCCCUCUGCAUCCGAAGACGUCGACGACGUUUUUACCCUCUUCGAUCACUCCUUCUCCCCCCUCCAGCAACCAUCUUUGUCCAAUUCCACUGAACCCCUCUUCUUAGUCUCCUUCAGGUUAACUUUUUAACAUAUUUACCCUAAAAAUUAAUUGGGGGUAUUUGUUGAUUUUUUUUAUUUUGGUUUGUGUAGGCGGUGGAAGGAGGCUAGAGAGGCUGUGUGCAGUGGUGGUGACAGCGUUUUGUAUAAUGGGACGGCACAAUUGACAAGUUCUGGCGAGGAUGAGGAAAAGGAUGCGGGUAUGGGGGUGGGGGCGUAGGGAUUCGGAGAUUCUGGUGAGUAUGAAGAGAGAAGGGGAAGCAAACAUUAGUGAAGAAGAAAGGGUUUCAAGCAAGGGGGAUUUUGCAUUGGUGUCGGAGUGGAUGUUUUUGACAGCUCUUAAAUGGUGAGCGCCAGUUAUCAUUCAAAUUAGUUUAUUUUUUCGAAUCAUUUUCUCAGUGUGCUUAUGUAAUUAUGUAGUGAUUGGUUAAUUCUUAUACUUGUAGUUAUACUUAGUUUUUUAGGGUUGCAUUGAACUUCUCUUCCAUGCAAUUGAUGGAAGAGUAGAAAUGACCCAAGUUUGGUUCCAUUGUUAAAUGUUAAAUUUGAAGUUGUCUUCUGUUGAGUUUAUCUGUUAAGCUCUUGAUGAUUAAGUGCUUGUCAAUUGUCAUCGUGUUGCUCUAAAAACAAGAACCAAGUUUGAGCAAUUCAUAUGCAUGCCUGAACAACCAAAACUCAACUUCACAAUUUGGGUAGGAUUAUCUACAAUCUUAUUGCUAUAGACUUUAGGAAAAAAAAAAACAUUUGUAUUAAACCAUUUGAAUGAAUACUAUGAAGAAGCUCCUUUUUAGAAUGUGUAUUGAAAUUUUGUUGUUGACUGUAAGAUAAGCAAGGAGUUAUUAGGGAGGAUAUGUUUGUUUUAUUAUCUGUUUCUGUUUUACUAAGAUAUUUCUGCUGAACUUUUGAAUUUUGUUUUGAUAAAUUAAAUCAUGGGUCGGCGCUGAAUCUGCUGGAAAUGAAGUUCAAACUGAAAGUAUUACUUUCACAGCUAUGAUUUUCUUCAAAAUUGACUCUAUUUCUGUAGGAAUUGUU